rnacentral:rRNA from 1 species
AUGGAGGCUGCCAUAUCUGUAGUCGCAGGUGAACUAGUGAGUCGUUUCAUCUCCUUGCUGAUGAACAAGUACCACUCCUCCUUUAGCCAUGCACAGUCAGAGGAGAAGAUGGUGGAGAGAUUGCAGAACCUCCUUAUGAGAGUCAGCAUGAUCGUCGAGGAAGCAGAUGCGCGGUACAUAACAAAUUCUGGGAUGUUGUUACAGCUCAAGACACUCUCAGAGGCCAUGUACAAAGGAUACCGCGUGCUGGACACCUUGAGGUACCAAAACCUCCAAGACAGUGUAGGCAUUGACGAGGUUAGCAUCAAUGACUCAUCUAGCAGCAGCUUGUACUUAUCCAUUCCCGUCAAGCGUUCUAGAACAAAAGCCGAGAAGGAUGACAAGGCCAUGCGGCUCGAGUCAGAUGGUGCCUUGCAAAGCUUAGAAAUUGUUGUUGCUAACAUGGCAGAAUUUGUAGUGCUUCUGGAUGGAUGCGAGCACAUAUCUCGUAGGCCAUAUGAUGUUUAUCUUUACACCAACAACUUCAUGUUCAGCCGACAUGCUGAAAAACAAAGGCUCUUGAGCUUCUUGUUGGAGCACAACAACCCUCCUGGUGAUCAUGCGCCGGCGGUUCUUCCGAUCAUAAGUGGUUUUGCAAUUGGGAAGAAAACAUUGGUUGCUCAUGUGUGUGGUGACGAAAGGGUUCGGUCACGCUUCUCUAUUCUGCACUUGAAUGGAGACAAACUCUUGACAAUACUUGACCAUGGAAGGACCAUGUCUGGGACGAUGUUGGUAGUUAUUGAGUUUGCUUCUGAUGUAGGUGACAAUGAUUGGAAAAAGUUUCACUUAUUAGCCCGGUUUGGAUCGAUGCAGCCUAUUUUCGUAAGUGUUCUGUCCUACGACGAGUUGAGGUACCUUUUCAAGACACUGGCAUUCGGGAGCGUAAACCCCGCAGAAUAUUCACGGCUAGUACAAUUAGCUGAUGAUUUUGCGGUGGCCAUUGCAAAUAAUUCAGGAAUGCUGAAGAACUUGUCGGAGACUUCAUAUCUCUCGACCCGGGGUGAUGUUCAGUUUUGGCGUUGCUUAUUUGACAAGGGGGUAAGAUAUGUUAAAAGAAACCUCUCCAUACAUGGUGUGCAGCCAAGUAUGCUUAUAUAUAGAACAAGGCCAUCCAGUGGACAUCACGGACUUCGCUUUGCAUCCACUUACCAUGACAAGUAA